UCUAUAUCUCUCCUUCUAAAUCUUUCCCAACUCAACAAAUGACACUACCUCUACACAUCUGCUUAAGAAAAAAGUAGGAGUCUUCCAAUGCAUCAGCAAAUCCUGUUGAUUCUUCUUCCCGAGUAUAUCUUAGAGUCUGUCCACUUCUUUCCAUAUUAGUUCAUAGUACCAUAAUCUCUUGCCUGACUUACUGCAACACCUUUCUCCUAGUCUCUCUGCUUUCUUUGGUAAUUUCCUACAACCUGUUCUCCAUAUAAGAACAAGAAUAAUCUUUAAGGACUUAAGCUAGAAGACAUAACUUCCUUACUAAAACACUCCAAUGGCCUGAUGCUUCACUUUGGAAAAAAAUCCAACGACCUUACUUUGCCCUAUAAGCUUUUGUGGUCCGGGGCCUGUGUUCCUCUCUCUCCUUAUUUAUACCACUGUCUUUAUAACCACGAGAACCUCCUUUCAGUUUCUGGAACACAUCGUAGGCUUUGUACGUACUGUUUCUCCUUAUCUAGCUAAAUUCAUGGCUAUCUCCUUUUCAUCUUGUGGGUUCGGUUUAAAUGUUACCUCCUUAGUAAGUCCUUCCUGAGUUAUUCCCUCGCAUUAGUGUCCUUUUCCUUUCCAGUUCCAUCAUUCUUCCUUAUCUCAGCACCCCGUCUGCUUUUGUAAAUAAUCCUUCCCAUUUGACAAAUAUUUUUUUUCUGUCUUCCUCAUGAUACUGUAAGCUCAGUGAGGGCAGAGAUGAUAUCCACUUUCUUUAUCACUAUGCAACCAAUACCCAGGACAACCCUGAAGCUAAAGUUAAUAGUUACUUGUUGAAUAAAUGAAUAGCACAGGUAAUGAUAGACCAUGUGAUAAAAAGGACUGAUUCUUAUGCAAUCUUACAUUAUAGAAAAUUUUAAGAGUAUAGCAUCAAAGCUUUAUUGAAGAUUUCAAGCAUUUGUCAAAAUGGAUGGAAAGCAUUUUUUUUUUUUUUGAGAGAUAAUCUUUGGUAUAUAGUCUAUUUUCUCCUCCAGUGCCUCUCAAAUUAUCUAUGGUGAAUUCCAAAUCUAUGAGACUUUUGUAAAAUUCAAUAAAAAUUACUAAAAAACAUCAUGAAAUAAAAACAAUAACAAAAUAUAAACCCAAUUGUUUUUAUUAUUAACUUUAACAGACUUAACAUGUUUAAGUUUCUACAAGAUUUUUUUUUAAUAUAUUUUUUUUUUCUUUUAGAGAGAGGGAGAGAAGAGAGAGGGACAGGCAGGGAGAGAAUCUUAAGUAGGCUCCAUGCCCAGCAUAUAGCCCAUGCUGGACUCAAUCUCCUGACUCUGAGAUCAUGACCCUGGGGUCAUGACCUGAGCAGAAAUUGAGUCAGCCACUUAACAGACUGAACCACCCAGGCGCCCCUCUAUGAAACUUUUUAAUCAAUUGUUGCCAAUGUCUAUGCUAAUCUCAUUUAAGAUCAGUAACAAGGUUUGGGACCAAUGCUGGUUGGAGAUCUGUACUUUUGAGUAGUGUUGUUUUACUCCAACUUGGAUGAAUGACUGAGGUCAUUGGGAUUGAUUUAGGCACUGUAUCUCAAAGCUCAUCCAUCCUGUUAUAGGAAGAGGAGUUGAAAGCUACUAGAAAUAAAACAAAACAAAUAAAAGUCAUAAAAUUUACAGAACAGUUGUAAAAUUUAGAAAUGAAAUAGAAAACUAUUAGAAAUUAAAUUUCUAAAAUGAUGGAAGUCAAACAGAAAAUGAAGUUUCUGUGGUCAUGAAUAUACAUUGGAGGGUGGGAAAACAUCUUCCCCAAAUACCUUGACUGGAUUUUGAAGGAGGUGAGAGUGGGAGAAAAUUCAAAUAUUACCCUUGGGAUGUCACAUGGUGACCAAUUGGUUAUUUCUAUUCC
rnacentral:lncRNA from 1 species